CCUGACCCAAAGUAGGAUGCUCUUGGAGGGGUAAGAGGAAAGAGAAUCCACACCUCCAUCUGCAACAGGGAUGGACCUGGUCACCAUACCUGCCUCUGGGCAGGAUGGUUACUUCUUCAGCUCUCACCUGCGAUGGGUCUGGGGGGUAAGCCCCUACCCUGCUGUAUGUGAGGAGAAAGCCAGGGCUUGCUUUGAGAAGGUGGGAGGCUGGCUUUGCAGAAUGUGCCUGCCUUUUUGUUCCCUGGUUCCUGAGCCUACUACACUGAUGUUACUGAUGUGUAAAAGAGUGGGAUGUGUGAGGAGAGCUGACAGGCAAUGCAAAGACACGAUAACCGCAUGGAAGUGUAUUGUAGUGGCAGCAAGAGGAACUACAAAGCUCUCCACUCUGCUGGGUGGGGAACCAGUACAGCAGGACCAGUGGUAUCUCCAGGUUAUGUAACGCUCAUGAUGAAAAGCUUGUGCCAGGCUCCUUGUUAAGUUGUUGGGAUGUACUUAUCAAGAAGAACUGGGAAGACAGAGGCUGGCACAGCUACUGUUGGUCUGAUUUCUGUCUGAUUUUUUUUUUUUUUUCCCUGAAAACAAGGGAAAUAAAACCAGGCUGAUGACCAGGGCUCCUGAAAUCUGUGUUCAUGAGUACCCACUUGAUGGUACCUGAUCACACUGCUAUUCUUUACAAUGAUCCUACUCCCUGGGUGUCUUAGGAAAAGUCUACAAGAAGGAAGAAAUUAUUUGCAGUUGCCAUCACUGAACCCAAAGUGAAGCUGUGGCAGAGUGGGCCUGACUCACCCACAACAAAAUGCCAUUGCAGCUACCCAUGGUGGCCUCUCAGCUUUUGCUUCUUGUCCUGAAACUGGGAUAAAAAACCUCCAAAGGAGGCUCCCAGGAUGGCUCUCAUCAUACAAAUCCUCUGAACAGCAAAGGAACAAAUGGCUAUGUCAGGCAUGCCCAUGUCUGUUUCAGAGCUGGAUAAAAAGGCACGUCAGAUUCAGGUCCUUGCUGAACUGUGACCCCUUGCUGCCUUCCUCCUGCUCACUCCCUCCUCACUGCCCACCCACAUCUCCUGCUGUGGGUGCAGAGCGGUGUCACGCCUCUCAAAAUCUUGCUGAUCACUGAUGUUACUCAAGGGAUAAAAUCUUGCCUUUGGGGACCGAGAUUCUGUGCCCACCACAGAGCGCAGCCACUGUGGGUGUCUCCUUCCAUCUGAGUGACUUCGCUGACCCAUGGAUAUUUCAGGUGUGCAGCUGGGUGUCAAGCCAGCCAAAUGGUUGGAGUUACCUUCCUCUUUUUUUGUUUAAUUUCAGAAGAGAAAGAAAUGCAAAGACAGACAUACAGCUCAGCGAUGUUGAUGCACUGACACUAUUUUGUGAAGCGACAUAAAAUGAGGUGCUCCUCCCUAUCACCAGGUCCUUAAAAGCCUUGGGAAUGGAAAUUUAUGUGACUCUUAACCCCUCGUGUUGUUACAGACAGUGACCCCGAAUAGUUUAAUGUGGCUUUUAAAUAGCAGCUCCCCUCCCUGCUCCUUCAGGAGGCUGCUCGUGGGAGAUAAGGAGGCAGGAGCCAGUCCUAGCCUCACCUCUACUGCCGAUGGCAGACAGGCAGCUGGGGCUGCUCCUCCUAGCCCUGGGAAUGGAGUGCUCACCUGCCUCUGGACAGAAGGACCAGAUUCAUGUCAUCUUCCCCCUUUCCUCUGCAUUUAUAAGAAGGCGUUUUCCAUUUUUCUUUUCCUCUGGCAGAACUGUUCUUUGGAGGACAGCCAUGGGCCAAGUCCAGCUGAACACCUUUUUUUUUUUUUUUUUUUUUUUUGUGGUGCUAAAUACUGGCUUAAGGCUCUUGAAUUUUUCCACAUUAUCUUUGCAGGUUCUAGAAAUGUGCUUUUGUUUUCCUUAUGCAUAUUUUUCAAUAGCAGUCAGAGUUGUUCUUCCUGGCAUCUGGUAACAAUUUCACGAGGUGUCCCUUCUCUCUGUCCCACCCGGUGCUGACUGCAGUGCUGCCCCUGCCUUCCUGCUGGCUCACGGGCUGGCGGCAGCGAAAGCAACAUCACCCAAAUGGCAUAGGAUGAGAAACCCAGCUGUCAUUAACCAUGCCAUGCUCCUCAUUGCAAUGUCUGGGGCUUCAGUACUUCUGUUUCUUCCCCUUGCUCCCAGAUUGAAUGCUUUCCUUCCUAGCCAGCUUCAGUACAAAGCAGCCUCACUUAAAUCACUGCUGCAAAGAGCUGUGCACACAAAUCCCCGGCCACAAUGCUGAGUAGUGGGGAAGCAGGGCUGAACUUUGAAAGAAGUAAAGGUCUGAGCCUAUUGCUGUGGCAGAAAAAUACCAAAUGCAAUUAUUUAAGGAGAAAAGAUGAGUUCUGACAGCUGAUCUGAGCUCCGGCAGUGAGUCAGGCUCCCCUGCCACCGGGGAGACAGAGCACCAUAUCACCAAAAUCAAUGUUCUGGACUUCGUGAUGUAGUUACUGGGAUUAUUAAGAUGACUGGAUUUGCCCAUUGGAGUGUACAGGGCGAAACAUAUGGUACUAAACAAGCCAGCAAUGCAGUCAAGGGGCUUCUACACGAAGGGAUUUGUAUGUAAACAUAGCGGGGCCAGGCAAAAGCCGUGCUCCCAUAAGUUAAUUUAGCUGUGCUUGCCGUAAUGACAACAUAAUUAUAGGAGUACAAUUCGGGAGAUUUAUCUUUUUAAUUAGUAAACUCUCGUGUCCUUCAAAAAUCUCCUUUGGCAGCUAUGGAGCCACCUGCGUCAGAGUGCGGCGGGGAGCCCUUGCUUACGCACGGCACCUGCACGCGUGCUCACCCCACGCCGUGGUGCUGCCACGGCUCUGAGCAGAUGGUCCCCCAUCACACGUGGCCUUCCCGUGUCACUUGCUA